rnacentral:lncRNA from 1 species
GAAUGAAACUCUCUGUAUCAGAUCACUCGUGAGACAGUGAGAGCCAAAGCUGACGUAUAUUAAAUAAAGUCAAUAACUACUUCUCAUCAAAACCUUGUGAACUAACAUCUAAUCUGGUCUGAGUUUAUUGCCUAAGUUUAUGGCCUACAACUUCAUUUCUUAGAAACCAACUCCUGGAAGUCCUGCCUCUAUGAUACCGCUUUUUAUUCUGCUUAAUAAACA